UACAGAGGUCUCAAGCGUUGUUCGGAUUCAUUGGGCGUAAAGGGUGCGUAGGCGGCGCGGUAAGUCGGGUGUGAAAUCUCGGAGCUUAACUCCGAAACUGCAUUCGAUACUGCCGUGCUUGAGGACUGGAGAGGAGACUGGAAUUCUCGGUGUAGCGGUGAAAUGAGUAGAUAUCGAGAGGAACACCUGUGGCGAAGGCGGGUCUCUAGACAGUUCCUGACGCUGAGGCACGAAAGCCAGGGUAGCAAACGGG
rnacentral:rRNA from 1 species